rnacentral:rRNA from 1 species
CCUACGGGGGGCUGCAGUGGGGAAUAUUGGACAAUGGGCGAAAGCCUGAUCCAGCCAUGCCGCGUGUGUGAAGAAGGUCUUCGGAUUGUAAAGCACUUUAAGUUGGGAGGAAGGGCAUUAACCUAAUACGUUAGUGUUUUGACGUUACCGACAGAAUAAGCACCGGCUAACUUCGUGCCAGCAGCCGCGGUAAUACGAAGGGUGCAAGCGUUAAUCGGAAUUACUGGGCGUAAAGCGCGCGUAGGUGGUUUGUUAAGUUGAAUGUGAAAGCCCCGGGCUCAACCUGGGAACUGCAUCCAAAACUGGCAAGCUAGAGUAUGGCAGAGGGUGGUGGAAUUUCCUGUGUAGCGGUGAAAUGCGUAGAUAUAGGAAGGAACACCAGUGGCGAAGGCGACCACCUGGACUAAUACUGACACUGAGGUGCGAAAGCGUGGGGAGCAAACAGGAUUAGAUACCCGAGUAGUC